rnacentral:tRNA from 1 species
GGAGAGGUGGCCGAGUCAGGUUGAAGGCGUACGACUGGAACUCGUAUGUGCGUGAAAGCGUACCGAGGGUUCGAAUCCCUCCUUCUCCG